rnacentral:rRNA from 1 species
UUGCUCCCUUAGGUCAGCGGCGGACGGGUGAGUAACACGUGGGUAACCUGCCUGUAAGACUGGGAUAACUCCGGGAAACCGGGGCUAAUACCGGAUGCUUGAUUGAACCGCAUGGUUCAAUCAUAAAAGGUGGCUUUUAGCUACCACUUGCAGAUGGACCCGCGGCGCAUUAGCUAGUUGGUGAGGUAACGGCUCACCAAGGCGACGAUGCGUAGCCGACCUGAGAGGGUGAUCGGCCACACUGGGACUGAGACACGGCCCAGACUCCUACGGGAGGCAGCAGUAGGGAAUCUUCCGCAAUGGACGAAAGUCUGACGGAGCAACGCCGCGUGAGUGAUGAAGGUUUUCGGAUCGUAAAACUCUGUUGUUAGGGAAGAACAAGUACCGUUCGAAUAGGGCGGUACCUUGACGGUACCUAACCAGAAAGCCACGGCUAACUACGUGCCAGCAGCCGCGGUAAUACGUAGGUGGCAAGCGUUGUCCGGAAUUAUUGGGCGUAAAGCGCGCGCAGGCGGUUUCUUAAGUCUGAUGUGAAAGCCCCCGGCUCAACCGGGGAGGGUCAUUGGAAACUGGGGAACUUGAGUGCAGAAGAGGAGAGUGGAAUUCCACGUGUAGCGGUGAAAUGCGUAGAGAUGUGGAGGAACACCAGUGGCGAAGGCGACUCUCUGGUCUGUAAC